GCCCCCAUAGUCUAGUGGAUAGAAUGCAAGGUUGCGGACCUUGAGACCGGAGUUCAAUUCUCCGUGGGGGCA
rnacentral:tRNA from 1 species